CCAUGGAAGGCUUCUGGGAGAGAGGAGUGAGAGUCCUAAAUAAAACAUUUCCUUGCCAUCCUUUUUAAACAAGAUUUGCAGUUUGGUGGGAAAAAAUAGACUGAUGUUGGAGCGGAGGUAGAAGGAGAGAGGUGCCAGAGAGCUCAGAAGAAAGUGGCUACAAGACGGCUUAGAGCCCAGGAGGGUCCCUGCGGCUUGAGUCACCUGCUCCUUAGUCACUUGGCUUUUGGUCUGGGAUCAAACUGGACAGUCGCAAAGGGCCAGGGAUGCCUCCUCAGGCCGAGAGGCAGGCCAGAGUCUCCCCUGAAGGAGCCUGCACCAGGGGCCCCACCGGCAGCUCCGACACGCAGCCACCUGCUUCAGGGGCCAAGCGGCCCGCCCCGCUGCUCAGGCCUCAGAAGACACACCUCCACGAGGGCCCCUGAGCCUGGGCUGCCCGACAGAGCUGGGAGGGGCAGCCGCAAGAUGCCGGUCGCCUUGGAUGGAGGCAUCCCUCUGGGCUCUGCGAUGAGCGAGUACAAUCCAGGUUACCUUUCUAAGGUAUGAGAAGACUGACUCUUCCACAGUGACUACAAAAGAAAGUCCACACUCCUUAGCAUGGUGGUCAAGGCCUUGCAAAAUGUGGCCAAAAUCUACCUUUCCAGCUUCACUUCUUGCUACUCCCACGUUACCCGGAUCUUGGUUCUCCGACCAGGGAUCGAACAUGGGCCCCCGGCAGUGGAAGCGUGGAGUCCUAACCACUGGACUGCCAGGGAAGUCCCUCUUCUGCAUUUUUGACAUGACUGUAUAUUCACUGCUGGACUGUCUGUUUAAUGGUCAUCUCUACCACCCAAGUAGGAGCUCUAAGAAAGAGGGAAUCAUGUCUACUUUAUUCCCAACUGUAUCCCUACAGCAUAUCACAGCCUAGUACCUCUGAUCUCAAGAAAUGUUUAGAGUGGAAAAAAAAGAGAAAAAGAUGAUGGGGGUAUUAUCAACAAGAGA